rnacentral:rRNA from 1 species
UAGGGAAUAUUAGAAAUGGACGAAAGUCUGAUCUAGCAACACCGCGUGUGCGAAGAAGGCCUUCGGGUUGUAAAGCACUUUUUGGAAGGAAUAGGAAGGAAUGUACUUCCAGAAUAAGUCUCGGCUAACUACGUGCCAGCAGCCGCGGUAACACGUAGGAGGCGAACGUUAUCCGGAUUUACUGGGCGUAAAGCGCGUGUAGGUGGUUCUGUAAGUAGGGCGUGAAAGCUCCUGGCUCAACUGGGAGAGGCCGUUCUAAACUACAGAACUAGAGGAUGGUAGAGGGAGGUGGAAUUCCAGGUGUAGCGGUGGAAUGCGCAGAUAUCUGGAGGAACACCAGUGGCGAAGGCGGCCUCCUGGACCGUUCCUGACACUCAAACGCGAAAGCUAGGGUAGCAAACG